UACGGAGGGGGCUAGCGUUGUUCGGAAUUACUGGGCGUAAAGCGCACGUAGGCGGCUUUGUAAGUUAGAGGUGAAAGCCCAGGGCUUAACCCUGGAAUUGCCUUUAAGACUGCAUCGCUAGAAUCGUGGAGAGGUGAGUGGAAUUCCGAGUGUAGAGGUGAAAUUCGUAGAUAUUCGGAAGAACACCAGUGGCGAAGGCGACUCACUGGACACGUAUUGACGCUGAGGUGCGAAAGCGUGGGGAGCAAAAGGG
rnacentral:rRNA from 1 species